ACCUGCACAGGUGCUGCAUGGCUGUCGUCAGCUCGUGUCGUGAGAUGUUGGGUUAAGUCCCGCAACGAGCGCAACCCUUAUCCCUAGUUGCCAUCAGGUAAAGCUGGGAACUCUGGGGAGACUGCCGGUGAUAAACCGGAGGAAGGCGGGAUGACGUCAAGUCCUCAUGGCCCUUACAUCCCGGGCUACACACGUGCUACAAUGGGUGGUACAAAGAGCAGCUAACUCGCGAGAGUAUGCAAAUCUCAAAAAGCCAUCUUCAGUUCGGAUUGGAGUCUGCAACUCGACUCCAUGAAGUUGGAAUCGCUAGUAAUCGCGGAUCAGCAUGCCGCGGUCGAAUACGUUCCCGGGCCUU
rnacentral:rRNA from 1 species